rnacentral:rRNA from 1 species
CGCGAAUGGCUCAUUAAAUCAGCUAUUGUUCAUUGGAUCGUAAAAAGCUACAUGGAUAACUGUAGUAAUUCUAGAGCUAAUACAUGCCUCAAAUGCCCUAUGCCGUAAGGCAGUGGGUGGUUUUAUUAGAACAAAACUAAUUACAUUGGCUUCGGCCUUUGUUAAUGGUGAUGACUCUGGAUAACUUUACUGAUCGCCUUUGGCGACGGAUCCUUCAAGUGGCUGCCCUAUCAAUUGUCGAUGGUAGGCGACCUGCCUACCAUGGUUUUAACGGGUAACGGGGAAUCAGGGUUCGAUUCCGGAGAGGGAGCCUGAGAAAUGGCUACCACAUCCAAGGAAGGCAGCAGGCGCGCAACUUACCCAAUUCCCGAUCGGAGAGGUAGUGACGAAAAAUACAGAGGCGGGACCUUUUAUAGGCCUCCGACAUCUGAAUGAGUAAAUUUUAAAUCCUUUAACGAGGAACAACUGGAGGGCAAGUCUGGUGCCAGCAGCCGCGGUAACUCCAGCUCCAGAAGCGUAUAUUAAAGUUGUUGCAGUUAAAAAGCUCGUAGUUGGAUCUGGGUGUCAUGGCUAUUCUCUGUUGUUUGCUUCUUUCAACAAAAUGUUGGCGUUGCUUCUCAGUUGAUUAGUCGUGUUACCUUUCUGCCGUGUCUAUUCGAAUGAAUGGGUGCCGGUUUCGGCUGGCAUGCUUGCGGUUGAUAUUUAUUUAUCGGCCGGAGUGGACGGCAAGUUUACUUUGAACAAAUUUGAGUGCUCAAAGCGGGCCAUAGUGCCUGAAAAGUCUUGCAUGGAAUAAUGGAAUAGGACUUCGGUUCUAUUUUGUUGGUUUUCGGAUCCGGAGUAAUGGUUAAGAGGGACAAACGGGGGCAUUUGUAUGGCGGCGUUAGAGGUGAAAUUCUUGGAUCGUCGCCAGACAAACUAAAGCGAAAGCAUUUGCCAAGGAUGUUUUCAUUAAUCAGGAGCGAAAGUCAGAGGAUCGAAGACGAUCAGAUACCGUCCUAGUUCUGACCAUAAACGAUGCCAACUGACGAUCCGCGUUAAGCCAUUGCGGCUUCGCGGGCAGUCCCCGGGAAACCUUUAAGUCUUUGGGCUCCGGGGGAAGUAUGGUUGCAAAGCUGAAACUUAAAGGAAUUGACGGAAGGGCACCACCAGGAGUGGAGCCUGCGGCUUAAUUCGACUCAACACGGGAAAACUCACCCGGUCCGGACACUGGAAGGAUUGACAGAUUGAUAGCUCUUUCAUGAUUCGGUGGUUGGUGGUGCAUGGCCGUUCUUAGUUGGUGGAGCGAUUUGUCUGGUUAAUUCCGAUAACGAACGAGACUUUAACCUGCUAAAUAGUGUGCUCGUCUUCUGUGCUUGUGGUGUGGCCAAUAUGUCGCGAUCCACUAGGGUCACGGCGUUUGGUUUACUCGCUUGUGCGGUGCGGGUUUCACUUCUUAGAGGGACACACGGUGAUAGCCGUAUGAAGUUGAGCAAUAACAGGUCUGUGAUGCCCUCAGAUGUCCGGGGCCGCACGUGCGCUACAAUGACGGUUUCAGCGAGUAUCAUAACCUGGCCUGAGAAGGUUGGGUAAACUGUGUCAUAACCGUCGUGACUGGGAUCGGGGCUUGCAAUUAUUCCCCGUGAACUAGGAAUUCCUGGUAAAUGCGAGUCAUUACCUCGCGUUGAUUACGUCCCUGCCCUUUGUACACACCGCCCGUCGCUACUACCGAUUGAGUGAUUUAGCAAGGUCGUCGGAUUGAUUCGAUUGGUGGUGAAAGCCUCACGAUUGACAUCGAGAAGACGUCCGAACUUGAUCAUUUAGAGGAAGUAAAAGUCGU